UACGUAGGGUGCAAGCGUUGCCCGGAUUUAUUGGGCGUAAAGAGCUCGUAGGCGGUUUGUUGCGUCGGCUGUGAAAUCCCGAGGCUCAACCUCGGGUCUGCAGUCGAUACGAGCAAACUAGAGUGUUGCAGGGGAGACUGGAAUUCCUGGUGUAGCGGUGAAAUGCGCAGAUAUCAGGAGGAACACCGGUGGCGAAGGCGGGUCUCUGGGCAGUAACUGACGCUGAGGAGCGAAAGCGUGGGGAGCGAACAGG
rnacentral:rRNA from 1 species